AUCUAGAUGGCAAAAUUUUAGAGACAUUAGAUCUCGAAUCGAUGUUAGUUGGGCAAUCAUAAAUGUAGUUGAACUUGACAUCUAUCAGUAGAAGUCCUCUCCACCUCUAUUUUUUCUUCGUUAGUAAAAAUUGAUGCUUUUGAUUAGUGAUUGUAUUUGAUGCCCAAUCAUUUAUGUAGUGGAGCAUGACACAAACCUAACUGUGCAUAACUACAACAUAAGAGUAGAUCAUGCAUGGUUUUCUAGUUAUUAUAAUGACAAGCAUAUCGUUGUGUGGCUGUAUGUAAUUCAUAUCGUUGUAGUAACAUAAGUCAUUAUUUUUGCGGGACACUUGUUGUUUUCUUUUUCAUCCACUACAGUGAUAUAAUGUGAGUUGUUAUUUUGGUGGGACACUAAGUAUAUCUUUUGAUUUAUUCCAAUAAUAUGUCACUUUAAUUUUGGUGGAAAUUAUUAUUUAUUUAAUCCACAUCUUUCUUUCAUGAUAAUUUUUCACUUUACAUCUCAUCUAAUGGAUCCUUUGUGCAAUAUAAUUGAUGGACUACAUUUGCUAAUGACAUUUUAUAGAUAGAUUCUGUGGACCUUCACAUACUAAAUCCAAAGUACCACUGGCCAUUUGAGUAUCUUUUGUUCUAGGAUAUUUUGAAGUGAGAAAGCAGCUGCAUCUGGAGUAUAAGGUUGAUUGACCUGGCUACCUUACUAAUGUGGAUCGUCACUGCAGUAUUUUCGAACUCCUAGUGAUAUGUGAAAUACCUUAUAGCAUAUUGUUGUUGGAAUUGAGUAAAUUGAAUCAUAUUACAAAGAUGAUAGACAAGAUGAACAUUGACAAACUCUCUGAUUUUCGCAAUGCAGCAAUCAGCUGAAUGCAAGCUGACAUGACAUCUCUGUUUGGAACUAUAACUUACCAGUCAAAUCAAUCUUCGAGUAUCUUCUUGGGCAAGCCUUUUUCCGCAAAGUUUCAAGGAGGAAGUACAUAGAGCCAACUCAAAGAUUAUAGGUUAUGUUUCUUCCUUCAGUGCACACAAAUAGUCACAGAAGCCGGAUUCUGUGUUUCCCUCCUAAGGUAUGCAUUGAGCUUUCAUUCAGCCUCUGAUGCCAUUUUCCGAAGCUCAAAUAGUGUAGAAUGAAAAGCAAGUGAGCUAGAGGUCUGUACUGUCAAUUUUUUAGUUUCUUACUAACUCUGGUUGCAAAUUAUCUUCUCAAAGUUGAGGUAAUGUGCAAAAGAGACUGAUAGAUGUUAGUGACAACGUUGGAAACACAUACAAUAUUAGAGGUAUAAAAAAUUAACCAAACUACUUAAGUUCAAUUUGUGUUCAUCUUGUUCGAGAUAGGUUUGAACAUGUUCUAAAACUCGUUAAUUUUCUUGUUUGGGUAAGCUAGCUUCAUUUGGUACUGUUAAUUCUGUUGAAUUGCAUGCAUUUAAAUUCAUGAAUGUAAUGAAACAUUAGUGAAUUUUUAUCAGAAAUGUUGGAAAAGGCAAUGGCAACUCCUCCAACUGUUUCACCAAUAUGGUGUUCCCCAUUACUUGAGGUAUGUCUAUGUAUGAACAAACA